GGUUUGAAGGGAAGUGAGUUUUUUUGGAAGUAGUGGUCAAACCAAUCAGUUUUUAGAUCUGAGUAUUGGCACCUUUGUUGGCCACUAAGAGGGUGGACACGCCUCUGAGGACACGAGGGGUUAAAAGCCGGAUUUCCCAGCAGGACUCCCUCUUUCCUGCUCUGCUUUCGGAGAGGGAGCGUCUUCUCCUCUCCCCUGCCCAGGCCUGGCUAGGCCGGGUAGGGGAGGGGAGCAAGGUGGGCCUGGCUGAGCAAGAGAGAAGGUGCCGAGUUGGAGCUGCUUGUGAGAACUGCAGUGUCUGCGAUCGCCUGUGCCUGACCUUGGUGGUGGGAGAUAAAGCUUUUAACUCUUUCUAAGGCAGAAGAGAGUUAUCCCUGGACGCUGCAUUCUCAUAGUUGGUGGUUUUAGAAGAGAGAGGACAGCCUGGGACCGAGAGGGUAAUGUGAGAUGAAAAGAAGCCCCUUCGAUUGCCGGAAUGAAGAGGAGUGGCCUAUUAGGCUGGACUUUUCUUGCAUAAUGAUAGCCAUAGACGGACCCUGGACCCUCCUGACUAUAAAUAAGACUGUGUUUGGGUGGAUGUUUUUGGCUCAAACCCAGAGACGUUCUGGCCUGCUUCUUGGAGCCCCCGGCCCCAGGGGUAAAUGGGGGGGACCUGAGUCCCAAAAAAUGAGAAGAUGGCUGGUUUUUGGUACUUGGCCAAAACAUCCUUAAAAAGAGCCCUGUUGCAGUGCAGGUCCAUGGACGGCAGUGAGAGUGCCGGACAUGGAAAGGAGGGUGUCACCCUGGCAGACUCUUCUAGGCAGUGCCAUGGGUGACGUGGGAACACGGGAUGGUGGACCUGUGUUUCCUGUGGGGGGGGUGGUCUGUGGUGCGAGAGAGACUCCUCUCGUCCUGGAUGGAAUGUGGAUUGUCUGAAUUUUAAAGGAUGAUGAUUUGGAUUAGGAACCCAGGGUUGUUGAGGGAUUAAGCAAGUAGAUGAAGGUAAUGUGCUGGAGUCAACUGAGUGAGCAUGUAUGGAAUGGAAAUUGGGGGGAGGAGAAGCAGUGUUUUUGGGAGGUUUUCUCUUCUGCUUUUGGGUGGCUGGGUUUUUCUUUCCUUGUCUAUUGUCCAUUGUUCUGUAGUAUAAUAAAUUGUCUGUCUGUUUUAAGUA